rnacentral:rRNA from 1 species
GUCGAGGAUAUUUAGCAAUGGGGGAAACCCUGACUAUGUGACGCCGCGUGAGGGAUGAAGGCCUUCGGGUUGUAAACCUCUUUCGAUAGGGAAGAAACCUCUACCUAAUCAGUAGAGCUGACGGUACCUAGAGAAGAAGCCAUGGCCAACUCUGUGCCAGCAGCCGCGGUAAUACAGAGAUGGCGAGCGUUACUCGGAUUUAUUGGGUGUAAAGGGCAGGUAGGCGGCUAUGCAAGUUGGGGGUGAAAUCCUGUGGCUUAACCACAGAACUGCCUUCAAAACUGCAUGGCUUGAGGCUAGAAGAGGAGAGCGGAAUUCCCGGUGUAAGAGUGAAAUCUGUAGAUAUCGGGAGGAACACCAGUGGCGAAAGCGGCUCUCUGGUCUAGCCCUGACGCUAAGCUGCGAAAGCUAGGGGAGCAAACAGGAUUAGAAACCCUAGUAGUCC